rnacentral:rRNA from 1 species
ACGGCGAGUGAAGCGGGAUGAGCUCAAAUUUAAAAUCAGGCGCAAGCCCGAAUUGUAGUCUAUAGAGGCGCUAUUGGAAGCCGGACUCUGCUAAAGUCCCAUGGAAUUGGGUAUCAAAGAGGGUGAGAAUCCCGUCUAGGCAGGGAAUGGUGACCGUAAGAGGCGUUUUCAAAGAGUCGAGUUGUUUGGGAUUGCAGCUCAAAGUGGGUGGUAAAUACCAUCUAAAGCUAAAUAUUGGCGAGAGACCGAUAGCGAACAAGUACCGUGAGGGAAAGAUGAAAAGAACUUUGAAAAGAGAGUUAAAAGUACGUGAAAUUGUCAAAAGGGAAACACUUGAAACCAGUGUUGUUGCUAGAAUCCCAACUAGUCUCACGAUUAGUAUAUGUUUCUAGUGACAGGUCAACAUCGGUUUUGACUGGAGUACAAAGCCUUGGGAAGGUGGCCCUCCUCGGAGGGUGUUAUAGCUCAAGGUAAUGCUCUGGUUGAGACCGAGGAAUGCAGUAAAGUCUUGGGGACCCGGGUGCUAGGUGAUGCCUUUCUAUAGACAACUUGUUGAUUAUGGAGAGUAUAAGCCUACUCGCUCGGUUUACCACACCUUUGCUUAGGAUGU